rnacentral:rRNA from 1 species
UACAGAGGGUGCGAGCGUUGUUCGGAAUUACUGGGCGUAAAGCGCGCGCAGGCGGCUCUUUAAGUCUCGUGGUCAAAUGCCGGGGCUCAACCCCGAGCGUGCCGGGGAUACUGGAGGGCUGGAGACAGGUAGAGGCAAGCGGAAUUCCGGGUGUAGCGGUGGAAUGCGUAGAGAUCCGGAAGAACACCAGUGGCGAAGGCGGCUCACUGGUCCGGUACUGACGCUGAGGUGCGAAAGCGUGGGGAGCAAACAGG